rnacentral:rRNA from 1 species
UACAGGGGGGGCAAGCGUUGUUCGGAAUUACUGGGCGUAAAGGGCUUGUAGGCGGCCAUCUAAGUCAGACGUGAAAUCCCCCGGCUUAACCUGGGAACUGCGUCUGAUACUGGACGGCUUGAGUAUGGGAGAGGGAUGUAGAAUUCCAGGUGUAGCGGUGAAAUGCGUAGAUAUCUGGAGGAAUACCGGUGGCGAAGGCGGCAUCCUGGACCGGAAUUGACGCUGAGGAGCGAAAGCCAGGGGAGCAAACGGG